AUUUAUCAAAACUGGGUUGAAAAUAGUAAAGUGAAAGUGUGAUAUGAAAAAUAAUAGUAGUAAAGCUUUACAGAAUCAACAGUUACACAAAGGGGUCAAGGGUUUGGGAACACAUUGCAUGGAGCAUAAGACCCUAGGAGGGGUAAGGUUUGGACAUGCACAACAAUAGAUGAUGUUGGCAUACUUAUGGACCAGCCAGGGAACACAAAC
rnacentral:lncRNA from 1 species